GAUGUCGGAUUAGCUUGUUGGUGAGGUAAUGGCUCACCAAGGCUUCGAUCCGUAACUGGUCUGAGAGGAUGAUCAGUCACACUGGAACUGAGACACGGUCCAGACUCCUACGGGAGGCAGCAGUAGGGAAUAUUGCGCAAUGGGGGCAACCCUGACGCAGCAAUGCCGCGUGAGUGAAGAAGGCCUUCGGGUCGUAAAGCUCUUUUAUGGGGGAAGAUGAUGACGGUACCCCAUGAAUAAGCACCGGCUAAUUACGUGCCAGCAGCCGCGGUAAUACGUAGGGUGCGAGCGUUGUUCGGAAUUACUGGGCGUAAAGGGCGUGCAGGCGGAUUGGCAAGCCGGAGGUGAAAGCCCGGGGCUCAACCCCGGAGGGUCUUUCGGAACUGCCAGUCUUGAGAGGGUCAGGGGCCAGCGGAAUUCCUGGUGUAGAGGUGAAAUUCGUAGAGAUCAGGAGGAACACCGGCGGCGAAAGCGGCUGGCUGGGGCCACUCUGACGCUGAGGCGCGAAAGCGUGGGGAGCAAACAGGAUUAGAUACCCUGGUAGUCCACGCCGUAAACGAUGGGCACUAAGCGUCCGACGGGUUCGACCCUGUUGGGUGCUGCA
rnacentral:rRNA from 1 species